rnacentral:rRNA from 1 species
UGAUGACGAGACGCUAAGGCGUUGAAGCAGUGUAUGUCAGACUUCCAAGAAAAGCUCGCAAUGUCACAAAUAAAAGAUGCCUGUACCAUAACCGACACAGGUGGGUAGGUAGAGUAUACUAAGGGGCGCGAGAUAACUCUCUCUAAGGAACUCGGCAAAAUGACUCCGUAACUUCGGGAGAAGGAGUGCCUUAUUUAUAAGGUUGCAAUAACAAGAUCCAAGCAACUGUUUAUCAAAAACACAGGUCUCCGCUAAGUCGUAAGACGAUGUAUGGGGGCUGACGCCUGCCCAGUGCCAGAAGGUUAAAGAAGUUGGUUAGUGUAUGCGAAGCUGAUGACUGAAGCCCUGGUGAACGGCGGCCGUAACAAUAACGGUCCUAAGGUAGCGAAAUUCCUUGUCGGGUAAGUUCCGACCCGCACGAAAGGCGUAAUGAUUUGGAUACUGUCUCGGAGAGAGGCUCGGUGAAAUAGACUUGUCUGUGAAGAUGCGGACUACCUGCACCAGGACAGAAAGACCCUAUGAAGCUUUACUGUAACUUGAAAUUGGAAUUGGACUUUGCUUGCGCAGUAUAGGUGGGAAGCGUUGAAAAUAUUCUUGCGGGAGUAUUGGAGCUAUCAGUGAGAUACCACUCUUGUAAUGUUAGAUUUCUAACUUUGAACCAUAAUCUGGUCAAAGAACAGUUUCAGGUGGGCAGUUUGACUGGGGCGGUCGCCUCCCAAAUGGUAACGGAGGCGUACAAAGGUUUCCUCUGAACGGAUAGAAAUCGUAUCUAGAGUGUAAAGGCAUAAGGAAGCUUGACUGUGAGACCUACAAGUCGAGCAGGGACGAAAGUCGGUCUUAGUGAUCUGACGGUACUGAGUGGAAAGGCCGUCACUCAACGGAUAAAAGUUACUCUAGGGAUAACAGGCUGAUCUCCCCCAAGAGUUCACAUCGACGGGGAGGUUUGGCACCUCGAUGUCGGCUCAUCGCAUCCUGGGGCGGUAGUACGUCCCAAGGGUUGGGCUGUUCGCCCAUGAAAGCGGUACGCGAGCUGGGUUCAGAACGUCGUGAGACAGUUCGGUCCAUAUCCGGUGUAGGCGCUAGAAUAUUGAGAGGAGCCUUCUUUAGUACGAGAGGACCGAGAAGGACACACCGCUGGUGUACCAGUUAUCGUGCCAACGGUAAACGCUGGGUAGCUAUGUGUGGAGUGGAUAACCGCUGAAAGCAUCUAAGUGGGAAGCCCACCUCGAGAUGAGUAUUCAC